rnacentral:rRNA from 1 species
AUUGAACGCUGGCGGCAGGCCUAACACAUGCAAGUCGAACGAGUGGCGGACGGGUGAGUAAUGUUUGGGGAUCUGCCCGAUAGAGGGGGAUAACUACUGGAAACGGUGGCUAAUACCGCAUACUAUCGGAUGAACCCAAGUGGGAUUAGCUAGUGGGUGGGGUAAAGGCUUACCUAGGCGACGAUCUCUAGCUGGUCUGAGAGGAUGACCAGCCACACUGGGACUGAGACACGGCCCAGACUCCUACGGGAGGCAGCAGUGGGGAAUAUUGCGCAAUGGGCGCAAGCCUGAAGCAGCCAUGCCGCGUGUAUGAAGAAGGCCUUAGGGUUGUAAAGUACUUUCAGCGGGGAGGCGUUACCCACAGAAGAAGCACCGGCUAACUCCGUGCCAGCAGCCGCGGUAAUUC